GGCCCAGCUUUCUCCUUCGCGCAGGUGGGCGUUUUCCUCCUCGCGGUGCUCCCGUUUGUCCUCGCGCGGGUUGGCAUGGU